rnacentral:rRNA from 1 species
UAUGAACGCUAGCGGCAGGCCUAAUACAUGCAAGUCGAGGGGUAGAGAGAGCUUGCUUUCUUGAGACCGGCGCACGGGUGCGUAACGCGUAUGCAACCUACCUUUAUCUGGGGGAUAGCCCGGAGAAAUCCGGAUUAAUACCGCAUAAAAUCAUAGAAUAGCAUUAUUUAAUGAUCAAACAUUUAUGGGAUGAAGAUGGGCAUGCGUGUCAUUAGCUAGUUGGCGGGGUAACGGCCCACCAAGGCGACGAUGACUAGGGGAUCUGAGAGGAUGGCCCCCCACACUGGUACUGAGACACGGACCAGACUCCUACGGGAGGCAGCAGUAAGGAAUAUUGGUCAAUGGAGGCAACUCGGAACCAGCCAUGCCGCGUGCAGGAAGACUGCCCUAUGGGUUGUAAACUGCUUUUAUCCGGGAAUAAACCUUUCUACGUGUAGGAAGCUGAAUGUACCGGAAGAAUAAGGAUCGGCUAACUCCGUGCCAGCAGCCGCGGUAAUACGGAGGAUCCAAGCGUUAUCCGGAUUUAUUGGGUUUAAAGGGUGCGUAGGCGGCCUGUUAAGUCAGGGGUGAAAGACGGUAGCUCAACUAUCGCAGUGCCCUUGAUACUGAUGGGCUUGAAUGGACUAGAGGUAGGCGGAAUGAGACAAGUAGCGGUGAAAUGCAUAGAUAUGUCUCAGAACACCGAUUGCGAAGGCAGCUUACUAUGGUCUUAUUGACGCUGAGGCACGAAAGCGUGGGGAUCAAACAGGAUUAGAUACCCUGGUAGUCCACGCCCUAAACGAUGAACACUCGCUGUUGGCGAUACACAGUCAGCGGCUAAGCGAAAGCGUUAAGUGUUCCACCUGGGGAGUACGCCCGCAAGGGUGAAACUCAAAGGAAUUGACGGGGGCCCGCACAAGCGGAGGAGCAUGUGGUUUAAUUCGAUGAUACGCGAGGAACCUUACCCGGGCUUGAAAGUUAGUGAAUGAUCUAGAGAUAGAUCAGUGAGUAAUCACACGAAACUAGGUGCUGCAUGGCUGUCGUCAGCUCGUGCCGUGAGGUGUUGGGUUAAGUCCCGCAACGAGCGCAACCCCUAUGUUUAGUUGCCAGCAUGUAAUGAUGGGGACUCUAAACAGACUGCCUGUGCAAACAGAGAGGAAGGAGGGGACGACGUCAAGUCAUCAUGGCCCUUACGUCCGGGGCUACACACGUGCUACAAUGGAUGGUACAGAGGGCAGCUAACUGGCAACAGUAUGCGAAUCUCACAAAGCCAUUCACAGUUCGGAUUGGGGUCUGCAACUCGACCCCAUGAAGUUGGAUUCGCUAGUAAUCGCGUAUCAGCAAUGACGCGGUGGAUACGUUCCCGGGCCUUGUACACACCACCCGUCAAGCCAUGGAAGUUGGGGGUACCUAAAGUAUGUAACCGUAAGGAGCGUCCUAGGGUAAAACCGA